rnacentral:rRNA from 1 species
AUGUACAUGCAUACAAUGUUAAUGUAGCAGAUCCCAUCAGAACUCUGCAGUUAAGCGCGCUUGGGAUAGAGUAAUAUUGGGAUGGGUGACCUUUUGGGAAGCCUUAGUGUUUUACAUG